ACCUGGGUGGCUUAGUCGGUUAAGUGUCUGACUUUGGCUCAGGUCAUGAUCUCACGGUUCGUGGGUUCGAGCCCCGCACUGGGCU
rnacentral:tRNA from 1 species